CUAAUACGUGCGAAGCGCCCGAAGCCGCGAGGCGACGGGCGUUCUCGCCGGAUGUAGGGAACCGACCCCGGGGGACCGCCCGGGGGCAACCCCGGCGCCCCCGAGACGGGGCGAACCACGGUGAAAUGACGGAUCGUCGGCCCCCGCGCCGGCGACUCGCCGAAUGAGUUUCUGACCUAUCAACUCGAGACGGCGGGGUAGAGGCCCGCCGCGGUAACGACGGGUAACGGGGAAUCAGGGUUCGAUUCCGGAGAGGGAGCCCCGAGAAACGGCUACCACUUCCAAGGAAGGCAGCAGGCGCGCAACUUACCCUAAUCUCGAUUCGAGGAGGUAGUGACAAGAAAUACCGAUGCGGGACCCUACGGGUGCCGCGUUCGGAAUGAGUACGAUUCGAACCACCUAACGAGGAACGAUCGGAGGGCAAGUCUGGUGCCAGCAGCCGCGGUAAUUCCAGCUCCA
rnacentral:rRNA from 1 species